CCUGGGGUCUGGUCCUGAGCUCCAUGUGGUGCUGCCACUUUGAAGUACCACCUCCUCUCCUCUUCUCUCCCGCCUACCCCCCUUUGCUGCCUCUUUGAGAGAGAGGCAGCAAGGGUGGGGGGAAGUAACUACAGGAUACCCCCAACUUAUGACCUCAGCCCGCACUUAUGAUGGCACACAGUGCCUAUCGUAAAUGUGGGUUUGAAUUACGAUGCCCCUGACUUGCUAUGCUUCCCCAGGAACAGAUUGUGUUGUAAGUCGGGGGCUGCCUGUAGUUGAUUAGUGUGUUAACCAUCCAAUAAGCAUUUGCUUAUCGGAUAGUCAACUAGUCGUUCACAUCCCUGCUGUGGUGGUGUCCAACAUGCUAGCCACUAACCACAUGGGGGUUAUUUGGCCAGUUGAGUGUGGUGGCUUGAACAAUAAAACAUAUUUUCAGAAUAAUGUGGCUAGUUGGCCAGAGCAGUAGCCACUAUAGUAGCUACUGCUUCAGAACUGAUUGGACACCAUGGUGCUAGAGGUUUGCAACAAAACCUAAUGUUAUUUAUUUCUACUUGGACUACAAGAGUCUGCUGUGACUAAUAUACUCUGAUGUUGAGGAAUGGGUUUCUUCUCUACCUGAAUCUAUCUUCUUCUAGAGAAGGGAGAAAUCUCAUGCCUUUUUGUUUCAAAAUAGCUUUUUAAUGAAAUACCAGACAAUGUAACAGAAUAUGCUAGCAUAAAACAGGAAAUUCAACUGCUAUACAAAGUUCUGCCACACAACUUAGAAUACAAAAAGACUUUUCUGCUUAUCUAAAUAUAAUUUAGCUGUAGCGAAUGGGAAGAUGUACAAUCUAAUGAGCAGGCCGGAGACUGGGAUGUGUAUAUCAGCUGGCUAUAUUGAGUUUCUGGUUGACUCUUUUCCUUCUAUCCAGCAUUGAAGCAUACAAACCUACGUUAACUUUUCAAAAAUCUGGGUCUCAUGAAGUACGCACUAUUAUUUUACACACAUUCAUAUUUAAUCCACAAAAACAUGAUCAGUGCAUUGAUGUUCCGUGUAAUCAACCUAACUUGCCUUAUUUAUCCUGUGAAGUGUUUCUCUCAAAUAAAAAACUUCUGCAUAAAGUGGGGGGAAAAAGUACUUGUUCUUUUUGCAUUGUGCACUCCAGUGAGGUAUUAGUAUCCACAAGGUUAAUAAUUGCACCAAAAUAUGUUUGAGUUUUGUUCCUUUAAGUGACAUUAAGGCCAUAUUUCAGAAUUACUUGUUCUGAAUGGAAGUAAAAAUAAAAAUCCCCAAUAAUGCUUGUUCUUUACAUACGGACGGACACAAGUUACCUUUAGUACAACUGCUGAAAGUGGGCAUGUAUUUUGAUAUUGAAGGUUUUUUUUUUUUUAAAGCUAACUUCCACACUGAGUUGUAUUAACUAUUUCAGUGGUUUUGGAACAGAUACGUAAUAGUUUUAGUGAGACAAUAGUUCAGAAUGUUUACCGUUGGAAAAAAAUUAUACGAACAUCUGGUUUUGCCACAAAUCAGCGAGCUCUGAAGGUACAUAUUUUCAUUAUGUACCUGGUUAUCGUUUACUACUGAAAGAGCCAACUAAAACUUAUUUUAUCUUUAUUACACUGUUAGGUUAUUUAUAUAUACAGCCAGAAAGUGGUAUGUUACCCUACAGUCUUGUUAGCUUUCCAGCUUAUUGAAUGACUAUCAUUAAUUAGGAAAGUAAUUUUGAAAAUAGAGCUGUUUUGUUCAUUCUUUCACUGAUUUCAAACAAGAUUUGCAGUUUUAAAAGUCUAACUGUUAAUCAUUCUUAAAUUAUAGGAGAUGCUCAACCUGGGAUGGGGAAGAAAAUCAAGCCUCUUGUGUCAUUAGCAGGAAUUAAGAUUCUGUCAUCAGUACUUGGCAAUUUUUUAUUGCUUUUGCCUGAAGGCAAAAUAGGAUCCAACUUCCUUUCCAAUAGGUGUAACGAGCCAACAUGGUGCCAAUCCAUGUUCUUGUGAACACUACCAGAAGGUGCCAUUAAGUCACUUUUCUGUUUUAUUAUUGCACUGAAGACCUUGUUUGGAAAACACUACAAACCAAGCUAUGGGCAUGAUCUCAGUUAAAGGAUUAGAAUUAAAUGAAAAAUUUGGACAAAACUGGUGGUUUGAUACCAAUAACAAUGUUGGCUGUGAGCACAGUAUUCCAAGUAUUAAAUAGUUAUUAGCCUAAUGUUUAGCCAUGUGUAUUUGUCACCUCCAGUUUUAUAUAAUUUAGUUCAAGUUUAAUUUCACUUGCCAGUGACAUCUGAAUUUAGUAAUUCCACAGGAUAGGAACAUUUUAUUUACAUAAGUAUUCUAUAGCACAAAACUUAGGGAAAGCAUGCCAAAAUUCUGUUUAAUUUGUAGACCCUCUUAUUUUGGUUCCAUUCUGUAACAACAUCUAGAGUAACAAACCACUGUUCUUCCACAUAAGUUUAUAAACUAUUCUAACAGGAGGAACUUAACUCUUUAUUCAUCUCUCUACUUAGAAAAGAGAACCAGAAUCACCAAGUGGCAGGACUUUGCCUGCCUGUGGAUAGUGACUAUUUUGAUCUCUACUUCAAACAGCUGGCUGCUCCUCAAAAAUUUUCUCAUUUGGCACAGGAUUCUGCCUUCUCUAGCUGUUUCCUGAAGACUUCCUUCAGCUGGAAAGUACAAGAAGAGAAAUCAAAUUAGUGGGUGGGCUUUGAGGAGUUUUUCAACACGUGAGCGAUCACUUGAACAUAUUCAGCAGCUAUAAUAAUCAUUCCUCAGGUUCCUUGGGAGUGCUGUCUGCAAUCUUGGUAGCUGAAGGUAGGAUUACGUGGUUUUGGAAGAGUAAAGGAAUGUGUGUGCGAGAGACACCGUGGAAGGCAUUGAUGCAAAUCAAAGUUUUGGAGAGUAUGACAUACAUUUUUCAAAAGCUUCAGUGUCUGCAAAGCAAGCAGCAUAAUGAGAAGAUCCAAACUCCUUCUCUGGACUUAGACAAGUGGAAAAGCAAGCUAUGUGGUUGGAAAUGCACUAUCCUCCUCAUAAACAGCAGUCUGCAU